GGGGGAUAUGGGGACAUGGGGGGGAUAUGGGCACGUGGGGGGGAUAUCGGGACGUGGGGGGAUAUGGGGACGUGGGGGAGAUAUGGGGGGAUAUAUGGACAUGGGGGGAUAUGGGGAGACAGGGAAAGGUCUGUGAUUCUAUAGGGCCCUAUGGCCACAAUGAGGUUCUAUGGGGCUCCAUGGGGCUCCAUGGGGCUCUAUGGGGCUCCAUAGGUCUCUAUGGGGCUCUAUGGGGCUCUAUGGGGUUCAGUGGAAAUCUACGGGCACAAUGGGGCUCUGUGGGGUUCUGUGGGGCUCCACUGGUCUCUAUGGGGCUCUAUGGGGUUCUGUGGGGCUCCACUGGUCUCUAUGGGGCUCUAUGGGGUUCUGUGGGGCUCCACUGGGCUCUAUGGGGCUCCAUUGGGCUCUGUGGGGUUCUAUGGGGCUGCAUUGGCCUCUAUGGGACCCUAUGGGGCUCUAUGGAGUUCUAUGGGGCUCCAUUGGCCUCUAUGGGGCUGUAUGUGGUUCUAUGGGGCUCCAUUGGACUCUGUGGGGCUCUAUGGGGUUUUAUGGGGCUCUAUUGGGCUCCAUUGGUCUCUAUGGGGCUCCACUGGGCUCUAUAGGGCUCCAUUGGGCUCUGUGGGGUUCUAUGGGGCUGCAUUGGCCUCUAUGGGACCCUAUGGGUUCUAUGGGGCUCCCUAUGGGGUUCUAUGGGGUUCUAUGGGGCUCUAUGGGUCUCCAUUGGGCUCUAUGGGUCUCCAUUGGGCUCUAUGGGGUUCUAUGCGACUCCAUUGUGCACUAUGGGGCUCCAUUGGGCUCUAUGGGGCUCCAUUGGGCUCUAUGGGGUUCUAUGGGGCUCCAUCCCUAUAUCCAUCCCCACCCCCUAUGGGAUAUUAUGGGAUGGGAGGAUAUUAUGGGAUGAGGGGAUAUUAUGGGAUGCGGACGCACAGACAGCGCUGUGGGACCUCCGGGACCGCAGUGUUUAUUAUGGGAUGUCGGAGGCGCUGCGCACUGUGAGCUGUGCGGGAAUGUGGGGCACUGUGUGGGAUUCGGGGGCGCCCCAUUGGCUUUGGGGUCCCAGUGUGGGGUCGUUAUGGGGCAGAAGUGGGGUCAGUAUGGGGCAGCAAUGGGGUCAGUAUGGGGCAGCUAUGGGGUCAGUAUGGGGUCAGUAUGGGGCAGCUAUGGGGUCAGUAUGGGGUCACUAUGGGGUCAGUAUGGGGUCAGUAUGGGGCCGCUAUGGGGCUGCUAUGGGGCAGCUAUGGGGUCAGUAUGGGGUCAGCAUGGGGCCGCGAUGGGGCUGCUAUGGGGUCAGUAUGGGGUCGCUAAUGGGCAGCUAUGGGGUCACUAUGGGAUCAGUAAGGGGUCAGUAUGGGGUCAGUAUGGGGUCAGUAUGGGGUCGCUAUGGGGCGCUGUGGGUCGGUCAGGAGAACUCGUGGACGAAGGCGGUGUAGAACUGAGAGAUGGUGGCCACCAUCCGCUGCAGCGCCUCCAUGGGGGGCAGAAUGGUCAUCCUGCGGCAUCAGCGGGUAUGAAUGGGGGGUGUGGGGGGUGCG
ensembl:lncRNA